GGUUCCAUGGUCUAGUGGUCAGGACAUUGGACUCUGAAUCCAGUAACCCGAGUUCAAAUCUCCGGUGGAACCU
rnacentral:tRNA from 1 species